UACGGAGGGUGCUAGCGUUGUUCGGAAUCACUGGGCGUAAAGGGCGUGUAGGCGGUCUGUUAAGUCUGAUGUGAAAUCCCCUCGCUCAACGAGGGAACUGCGUCGGAUACUGGCAGACUCGAGUACCGGAGAGGAAGGUGGAAUUCCCGGUGUAGCGGUGAAAUGCGUAGAUAUGCGGAGGAACACCGAUGGCGAAGGCAAUCCCCUGGGCCUGCACUGACGCUCAUGCACGAAAGCGUGGGGAGCAAACAGG
rnacentral:rRNA from 1 species